AAUAUUUUUGUAUUUUUUGAAUAUCAAAAACUAUUUAAAAUGAAUUAAAAAAAUAACCAGAAAAGAGAAAAUUCACAAAAAAUAUCAAAUGACAAAAUAAAAAAUAUUAAAAAUCAGAAAUAGAAACUAGAAUUUAUUUGGGAAAUAAUGCAAUUGGUCCCAUAAUUUUUGGAUAAAAAAUUAAAGAGAUAUUGAUUUUUGAAAUAAAAUGGAAUUAAAGAAAAUAAAAGGAAAAUAAAAACAGAAAAUAGAAAUUGG
rnacentral:lncRNA from 1 species